AUUUGUUAAUUUUCAUCGAGAUCUCCUUCGCGUGUAAAAAUGUUUGUUGUUGCAUCGUUCUUUGCUUAUUUGGAGUACGGUUUUGGGUUAUUUGCGUCUGUUGUGUGGUCCGACCCUCCUGUUUUCCGACUUGGCGCUACCCAUCCCUUCCAUCCAUUUGUUUCCAAACAGUGGUCAACUAAUGUGUCCCAAAUGUCCCGGGGCGACAACCAAAACAAGCCACUUGUCGCAGGACCUCCGCAGCACAGCUGUCUAGACGGAUGUCGAGUGCAAAUCCCAAUUAGGCACCUUGACCGAGCCAUCCCAGCCGAACUAGCCACUUGAGUGGACGGAGGAUGCGGACCACGACGGUUCCGCUCUCGGCGUUCACACAUAUUUCAUCCUCCUGCCGACAUCCUCAAGAGUGUCCUGUCUGGUCGGGAGCGACGGGCGACAAGGCGUGAUUUGUAAACAAUGCCACACGCAUGAUUACAUGAUCAUGGAGCCACUGCAUCACCAUCACCAUCAUGUGGGCGGGGGAAGCUAUGCUACGUAAACUGACUGGCGGCCCCGAUGGUUUCCAAUUGCAUAUUAGCGUCGCCGCAAAGCGGAUGGCCGACUCCACACUGAGGGAAACGUAGUAGUUGUGCUAUACUG
ensembl:ncRNA lncRNA:CR46046 long non-coding RNA:CR46046